GUCUUUUUGAAUUUAAUUAAAAGUCCAAUCUGCCCUAUGAAAAAUUAAAUGGCCGCGGUAUUUUGACCGUGCAAAGGUAGCAUAAUAAUUAGCUUUUUAAAUGGAAGCUUGUAUGAAGGAUUAGACGAGGGUUUGACUGUCUCCAUUUUAUAAAUAAAAUUUUAUUUUUGAGUUAAAAAGCUUAAAUUUUUUAAUAAGACGAGAAGACCCUAUAGAUUUUUAUAUUUUUAUUAAUUUUUUAAUAUUGGAAUUUAUUUAAGUUUUAAUAAAUUAUUUAGUUGGGGUGAUUUGAAAAUUUAAUAAACUUUUUAAAUAUUUAACAUAGAUUUAUGAUUUUUUGACCUUGAUUUUCUGUUUAUAAGAUUAAGUUACCUUAGGGAUAACAGCGUUAUUCUUCUUGAUAGUUCUUAUUGAUAGAAGAGUUUGCGACCUCGAUGUUGGAUUAAAAUUUAUUACUGAUGCACAAGUUAGUUAAUUAAGUCUGUUCGACUUUUAAAAUUUUCGACUUUUAAAAUUUUCUGAUGCACAAGUUAGUUAAUUAAGUCUGUUCGACUUUUAAAAUUUUCGACUUUUAAAAUUUU
rnacentral:rRNA from 1 species